UUCCUGAACUGAUCUGCUCUCACAUAUAAAGAACAUCACGGUGUCUUCUUGGCUAUUCUGUAAGCUUCACACAUCACUGCCCAAGUUUAUGAUAUUCUUCCUGCAUUUUUCCAUUUUUUCAUUUUUUUGGCUUUUUUUUUUUUUUUAAUUUAAAGAAGAAACGGGGGGAUUAAUGGAGUUGCUGGAGUCUACAUUCCAAAUGGGUAUACCAUUGUCCCAGAGCUAGUUCUUUCAUGUAAAAAGAAAAAGAAAAAAAAGGACAGAACCAGAAACAACAGAUGGAAACAGGAAGACUGGAAAAAGGGGGGAAGGGGGAUUUUAUAUCCCAGCCACUAGGCAAGUUUUGAAGCUUGAUUAGCACAUAUAUGCCAAAAGGCUUUUUUUUUUUUUUUU